GAAUGCUGACAUAAGUAACGAUAAAGCGGGUGAAAAGCCCGCUCGCCGGAAGACCAAGGGUUCCUGUCCAACGUUAAUCGGGGCAGGGUGAGUCGACCCCUAAGGCGAGGCCGAAAGGCGUAGUCGAUGGGAAACGGGUUAAUAUUCCCGUACUUGGUGUUACUGCGAAGGGGGGACGGAGAAGGCUAUGUUGGCCGGGCGACGGUUGUCCCGGUUUAAGCGUGUAGGUGUGUGUUCCAGGUAAAUCCGGUUCACUUUAACACUG
rnacentral:rRNA from 1 species